ACGCUCGACACCUACGGGGGCAGCAGUCGGGAAUAUUGCGCAAUGGAGGAAACUCUGACGCAGUGACGCCGCGUGCAGGAAGAAGGUUUUCGGAUUGUAAACUGCUUUAGACAGGGAAGAAGAAGUGACAGUACCUGUAGAAUAAGCUCCGGCUAACUACGUGCCAGCAGCCGCGGUAAUCUGAGCGGGCUGGCAAGGC
rnacentral:rRNA from 1 species